UACGAAGGGGGAGCUAGCGUUGCUUCGGAAUCAGCUAGGGCGUAAGGUGCGUAGGGCGGGUCUUUAAGUCGAGGGUGAAAAUCCGUGGAAGCCUCAACUCCCAGUAACUAGCCUUUGAUACUGAGGAUCUUGAGUUCGGGAGAGGUGAGUGGUAACUGCGAGUGUAGAAGGUGAAUUCGUAGAUAUCGAGGAGGAACACCGGUGGCGAAGGCGGGUCUCUGGGCCGAUAUUGACGCUGAGGAGCGAAAGCGUGGGGAGCAAACAGG
rnacentral:rRNA from 1 species